GACGAACGCUGGCGGCGUGCUUAACACAUGCAAGUCGAGCGGAGCGGCGAACGGGUGAGUAACGCGUGAGUAACUGCCCCCCUCUCUGGGAUAACAGUUGGAAACGGCUGCUAAUACCGGAUAGUGGGGGAUGACUCGCGUCCUAUCAGCUUGUUGGUGGGGUAGUGGCCUACCAAGGCGACGCCGGGUAGCCGGCCUGGGAGGGCGAACGGCCUCAUGGGGCUGCGAUACGGCCCAAACUCGUACGGGGGGCAGCGGUGGGGAAUAUGGCACAGUGGUGGAACCUCUGAUGCAGCAACGCCGCGUGCGGGAUGACGGCCUUCGGGUUGUAAACCGCUUUCAGCCAUGACGCGGUAGUGGCAGAAGAAGCACCGGCUAACUACGUGCCAGCAGCCGCGGUAAUUC
rnacentral:rRNA from 1 species